rnacentral:rRNA from 1 species
UGGGGAAUAUUGCACAAUGGGCGCAGCCUGAUGCAGCGACGCCGCGUGGGGGAUGACGGCCUUCGGGUUGUAAACUCCUUUCAACCAUGACGAAGCUUUCGGGUGACGGUAGUGGUAGAAGAAGCACGGGCUAACUACGUG